UUAACGUUUAAUAGUUUAUUCAGACAUUGCAUCAAAACACGAGUUUAUAAUAGGUCUUCUGGCAGGUAAACUCCAACCACCAGGCUACGAACCCGACAGUCGGGCGCUCGAGAGCGCUGCCCCACCGAAGCAACAUGGACAGGUUCACAGGGGAUGUAAAGUGUGGAUUCGGACUUAUAACGUCCGUUUCUCUUAAUGGUCCUUCCGCAGGUUCACCUACGGAAA
rnacentral:misc_RNA from 1 species